ensembl:lncRNA
UUUAAAAAAAUUGAACCAACAGUACUUUAUUUUCAUUUACGUCAUUGGACAAAAGUAACAUUGAAUCCUAUUUUACAGACUGCAGUCAUUUUUGGUUAGGUCUAAGCACAGAUGAAGGCUGAUUGUUUUAUUGCCUGGGAAGUUGUGCUUUAAUGAUUGUCACUGAAGAUUUUUGUGAGAUCAUUCUUGUCUUGUUAUUAGUACAUGAUCUGGAUAUUUGAAUGACAACAGUGUUUCGAGUGGCACUGAGGCAGAACUGCCUUUUUAAAAAAUAGUGGCAAAUAAAAUAAAUUGUAAAAGAUACAAGUAUACAAAGGUUCCCAGGUUAGAAAGUGGAUAUAAUGAAUAAAGUCUGUGAAAGGCUGUGAAACAGUGCAGCAAAAGUGUUCUUAGAAACAGAGGUUCUCGCUGUAGUCAGUCAAGUUUCCUUUUGUAAAUGAGAAAGUAAAAAUAUCAAAUCAAUAACAGGAAUGUUAAUAAUACAGAUGGUUUAAGAAGCAGUGGUUUUACAUGAAAUUGUGAAAACAUCACUUUUUGGUCUGGAAAGAACAGUCAACAAGAAAUCUCUGAGUGAAUUUUGGCAUCCUCAACAUUUAAAAAAUCUACAUUUUCCUUAAAAAAUAUACAAUUUAAUUUUCAAAAAGCAAUUCUGAUAAUUGUUUUCAGCACUGAGACAAAACAGACACAUAAUAACAAAAAGUAACAAAACACUUUUGCAAUCCAGAUUCAAGACUGCACUUUUCUUUGUACAGCGUCAAAGGUUUUAUUUAGCACCUUUUUUUCUCUUUGAGAGAAGAAUCUCAAGAAAUGACCUGACAGAUGAGGUUAGGUGUCCACCUGUGCAUGCCCUCAGAGAGUAUAAUGUGAUGCAUUACCUGUGGUUAGCUGAGGUAAUGUUACACGUACAUGUACCUUAAAGACUGGACGUCACUGUAUGUGUAUGUUGUAAACAAGGCCUGUGCCAGUCAGAGCAGCUCAAACACUUUGGCCUGGAAUCAGUGCACCCUAAGUCUUGAUCCCUUAAAGGAUAAAUACAAAAUGCAACCUGGUGUCAGAUAUUUUUAAAACCUAAAAGCUAUAACCCGCUGAUGGCUCUGCUGGGACACACUAGCACCUUCUUCAGUUAUGAGUUUAAACACAGCGUCGCAGAGCACACAACACGAUUCACACUAAUCCCUGCUCACGUCACAGAAGAAUACAGCUACGAGUUAUGAAGGAUUGGGUAAUGUCCAUGUACAAACAGACGAAUAUUAAAGUAGAAAACACCUGAAUUGUCAUGUAAAUGUUGCAGUCCUUUGUGUUAACAUUUCAACAACACAUAAAAUGACAUGCUACAAUACUGAGAGGAGAAGCCUGUGCUGAUGUCCUGCCCAGUGUUUCUGAUGACAUUGAGGCAGACAAGUUCUUGGACCACUGAUAGUGAGCGUGGCCCUCC